AAAGGAGUUUCCGAGAAUGUUUCUGUCUAGUUUUUAUGUGAAGAUAUUUCCUUUUCCCACGUAUGCCUCAAAGCGCUCCAAAUAUUCACUUGAGAACAUAGGUUCAACACUGGAGUUGAAUGCACACAUCACAAAGAACUUUCUCAGAAUGCUUCAGAGUAGUUUUUAUUUGAAGAUACUUGUUUUUCCACAAUAGGCCUCACAUAGCUCCAAAUAUCCACAUGUAGAUACUGCAAA
rnacentral:lncRNA from 1 species